rnacentral:rRNA from 1 species
AUUGAACGCUGGCGGCAGGCCUAACACAUGCAAGUCGAGCGAGCGGCGGACGGGUGAGUAAUGUAUGGGGACUGCCCGAUAGCGGGGGAUAACUACUGGAAACGGUAGCUAAUAACGCAUAACAUCGGAAAACCCAUAUGGGAUUAGCUGGUUGGUGAGGUAAUGGCUCACCAGGGCGACGAUCCCUAGCUGGUCUGAGCGGAGGAUCAGCCACACUGGGACUGAGACACGGCCCAGACUCCUACGGAGGCAGCAGUGGGGAAUAUGGCACAAUGGGCGCAAGCCUGAUGCAGCCAUGCCGCGUGUAUGAAGAAGGCCCUAGGGUUGUAAAGUACUUUCAGUCGGGAGGCGUUACCGACAGAAGAAGCACCGGCUAACUCCGUGCCAGCAGCCGCGGUAAUAC